CAGUCGCCACGGUAAUACGAAGGGGGCUAGCGUUGCUCGGAAUGACUGGGCGUAAAGGGCGCGUAGGCGGCGGCCAAAGUCAGGCGUGAAAUUCCCGGGCUCAACCUGGGGGCUGAGUUUGAUACUGGAAGUCUUGAGUCCGGGAGAGGUGAGUGGAACUGCGAGUGUAGAGGUGAAAUUCGUAGAUAUUCGCAAGAACACCAGUUGCGAAGGCGGCUCACUGGCCCGGUACUGACGCUGAGGCGCGAAAGCGUGGGGAGCAAACAGGAUUAGAUACCCCUGUAGUCCCUGUCUCUUAUAC
rnacentral:rRNA from 1 species